ensembl:lncRNA
AUGCCUUACAGUAGAAAAAGGAGGAAACAAAUUCCCAGCGCGCUGUCAGACGUGUCCCUUCAGACCAACCUGCCUCAUGAUUGCCACGGUGAGCCAAGUCCUGGUGGAAAUGAGGAGCAGCCUGAGCAGCUGGGGGUGGCAUACAAGGACCUUGUGACAGGGAAAGGACUUGGACUGAAAGGAACAUUUUACAAAAGAUUGUUGAUUCUGCUGGGAUGGAUCAAAGCUAGAGCUGUAACAUUGAGGGAAGAGAAUUCAAAUAGAAAGGAAAAAGUGAAGGCAUCUGGGACACACAAUAAAUGCAUCACUUUAGCUAUGAUUUUUCACUUGUUUUACCCUGUUCAUAGGAAGAAAUUCUUCCCUGUGAGGGUGGGGAGCCCCUGGCACAGGGUGCCCAGGAAAGCUGUGGCUGUUCCAUCCCUGGCAGUGCCCAAGGCCAGGUUGGACACUGGGGCUUGGAGCAGCCUGGGGCAGUGGAAUGUGUCCCUGCCCACGGCUGGGGAGUUACAAAUAUGUGAACAUAUCUCCAAUCUAUCCACAAAUAAAAUCAGUGGACUGUGCUGGGCCAACCACACAGGAGGAAACUGGACCUAAUGAACAUUACACUCUACUCUUGUGUUAUUUCUUAUCUUUGUACAACUUGAAAGUGAAGUUUGGAGUCCAGGUACAGAUUAUAUUGAAUGUACAGCAUGGAAAAUCCUCCCCAGUCAAUUAUCCCCAACAUUCAUAUCUGAGGGGGAGCAAUCUUUUUUGUGGAUGGUCAUUGGAAAGAACACAAUGCCUUCAACUCCACUGAAAAUACUUCCCUAUGGAAAAGCUACACUCCAAAAAACCCCUUCAAACUUGCUGGUGGAACUUUUCUGGUUGUAUCUUCCUGGAAUUUGGAUACCUUGGUCAGAAUUGCAUCCAAUUCAACUAAGACCAUCCAUGUCAGCCAGACUUGGCCCAGCACUGGGAUGAAAAGAGGGAGACUCUGGAUAAGGAAGAGGAUUUUUGGAGCAGUUAAUAACUGAGCUGUGGUCCUUGGCUACAGCACAGUGAAUGUAAGAGUUGGUUGGCCCAGAAAGUUGAUCAGGGGUCACCUUUUCAUCUCCCCAGAGCAGAAAGCACCAGCAGCCUUCGCUCAGCUGGCGGCCAGUUGAAAAGGAAAAAACAGAUUGUCAUUUUUUUGGGCAGCAGCACUUGCCAGCCUCAGCUGCAGCCAGUGGUGAGAUCCCUUGUUGCCUGAGGAAGUGUCCAGCAGAGCUGCAGGAACACAGAGUACGGAGGAAGGGCUGGCUCUCUGUAUUCCUGGGGCUUGGGAAUGCUCUGCCUGGCAGCCGGGUCAGCACAAACCCAACCACGAUUUCUCCCGGCAGAAAAAGAGAAAAGGAGCAAGAAUCAAACUUUGUGAACCUGCAACUAGAGGGGUGUGGCAGGAGGGAGAGGAAGAGGAGUGCUAAUUUGGCCGGGGCACCCCUGGCAGAAGCCCUUGCCAGGACAACAGGAAAGGCUCAGCAAACACAAAGCAAUGGGGAAUAAAGCAAAUAUUUCAGCUCGGGGUGGAAGCGCUGAUGCUCCAAUCACUGGGGCCACAAUAGUGAUGGGUUAUUUUUAUUUCCUUGAAGGAAGUGGGAAAAGGACAGAAAAGGGGAACUUUAUCACCUCCCACCCUCAACAGGUGUGCAGGGAGGGCAGAGGGAGCUCCCAGCACCCCGGUGGCUGCUGAGCUCCUCCCCGGGUUCACUGGGCAAUGCUUGGUGUUACUUGCAGGCAGUAAUUGACAGCGGCAGCUUAAUUAAACAAAAACAGCAAGACAGUUUCAUGCUAAAAAGGGCAGGCAACAAUAAUUUUCCAGAAAUGGAUCCUUCCAGCUUUCACUGAGGAUAAACACUCAGAGCCCUUGCAAAUUCUGAUAAGUGACUUCGAGCCCGUGUUGUUAUCUUGCUGCUUUUUUUUUUUUUAUAAUACUGUGAAGUUGUUGGAAGGAAUAAAAAGAGCCAGAAAUCUUUAUUAUUCUUCCUAAGGGAUUCAUUGCAUUCUGCUUUGCAUUGCUUCAUCUUAUUACCAAUUUUCAUUGUACAUGCUUUUAAUAAAUACUUAUUGCUAUAAAGAUAAUAACAUUCUUAUCACAUUAAUGGCUUUGCAGUGGUGUAAAUGAAAAUGAAUAUUAAUAAUGUUAACAGUAACCUUGAUACAGUAGAACACCAGUAACUGGGAAAUCUUUGAGUGUUUUACAGUACAAGAAACCUUUAUUUUCUGGUUUUACUCUGCCAGUAAUGGAAGAGAAAGUAGGAGAGACAGAAAUUUAGAUAUUUGUGGAAAAGGCUUGGUGAUUAUUUCCCAUUAUAGAGCACUGCAGUCUGGUUUAUUAAAAAUAUCUUCUCAUCCCCAAUCCUUCCCUGAGGUAUUUCUGCUGCCUACCAGCCCUGCAAUGAAUGAGUGCAGACACCAUAUGGGCACUUGUCUUCCAGCCUGUGUGUGGGUCUUUUGGGGCUCUGCUCAGAUUCCAGCAGAUGGGUCAGACUGACAUUUCUUUCCUGAACCAGCAAAGAAAAAACCAAAAAAGCAGUGGAGUUACACUGCCAUUCUAGGCAGUUCUGCAUCUCCUCUUCUGAAAAGCUGAAUGAAUCAGCCACAGGGAAUUUUGCUCUCUUUUGAAUUGCGUCCCUUUGCAUGAAAGAAAAAGUCACCUGCGAGUAAAUCAUCAAAGAUGUUAUUUUUGCAUGCCUGUACAUUUCCCAAGCAUUCUCCUUUCUUCAUAUGCAGGCUGAAUUUGAGAUUGGGAGCACAUGGAGCUGAGCACCAAAGCUUUUUUUUGCAUGAUUUUCUUUCACCUGUGUUGGCCAAAAUACUCCAACAGGAGCCACUGAUACCAGUGGUUGUAUGUUCUGCAGCACAGAAUAAUCAAUUCUGAGCAAAGAGCUCUGUGUUAGCACAGCAUGAGAGGAAUUCCAGUGUGCUGGGAGUGCAGACAGAGGCAAUGAGUAUUGCAAGAUUUCCAGUCCUAAGCAGAGAUUUCAAACUGUAAAGCCAAGGGUUUACAUGAGGUUAAGCCUUGAGAUUUUCAAGUCUGAAAGAUUUGAUAAUGUCAAAGUUAUUGUCUUUACUUGGCUGAGCCCUGUCACACUGCUCAUUUGCUUUCAUAGUUUGGGGACAUUUUUACACACUAAGGCAUAAAUUUAACAGAAUAAACAGCAAUGUAAAAAACUACAGAUGGUGGUUGCAGAGCAGCCAAGCAUUGGCUCCAAUGGUGAAUUUAACUUCAGGGCUCCCUGCUUUAGCAGAUGGCAGAUUUCAGACCUGACUUUGCAUUGAUGCAACUUUCUUAAGUGCAAUCUUUUGGUGAGGGGAUCAAAUUCACAUAGAUUUUGCUUUAGCUGAUGGUGCCAUUGCCUCAAACAUCAAAUGUAUGUGUGGGUAUGUAACUCAUCUCAUCUCAGAUGUUUGGGUUUGGGUUUUCAGUUUGGGGAAGGCAGCUGGAUUCUACAACAGGAUGGAGAGUGUCAGCCAACACCUGGUGACAGAAGUUACAAGACAUGAAAUGAAGAAUUCAUUUUAUAUGAUCACGUAGAAUAAAGUAUUGCUCUGCUUCUGACUGGAGAUGGAAAUAAGGAAAUGUGGCUGUAGCACUGCAGAAACCUGCAUUAACUCCAUCAGUGACUCCUGCAGAGCCUGAGGAACUGUGCAAGAGCCUGACCUUGUCAACAUAUCCUUCUUUUCCAGCUCAUUGUGACAGUGCUCCUAUCACUGGCUAUAAAUGAAAAGUAGAUGCAUUUUACAGGAAUAUGCAGAUCCCAGCAGGCACAUUCACCUCUCUAUGCUAGCACCACUAAUUUGUGCCUCUCCAUCACUCUGAUUUACAGCAGUCCUCAAAAUGCAGACUAAGGCCUCUCAGUAGUGUUUACCUCACUGUCACUUUGUCACUUUGUCUCGCUCCCAUGCCUCCAAGCAGGCAGAAGCUGGCAGCCACUGUCUCCAGCAUAAAAGUGGAUUGAAUAGACUAAAAGUGGCCAAAGGGUAUUGUGGAAACCAGAGGUGUGAAGGAAAGUGGCCAGCUCUCCAAAGAGAAUGAGGAAAGAUGGCAAAGCAGCCUUGGAGGGUUAAUGCAGCAUCCAGUGCCCACAAAUAGCACCAUCAUUUCACCACCCAGAAACACUCCAGGGAAAUAAACAUUUCUCAUCAUUGCCAGGAAAGCCGAAUCAUUAAGGAAGAGAAUGAUGAUGAAAUGCAGAAAGUCUUGCUUCUUGAGCACAGCACAUUAGUUUCUGGGGCAUGAAGCUCAUUUGUAAUAGGGAUCUAAUUCAUAUAAUCAACACCAAGGCUAAACACUGAAGAGAAGAUUUUCUGAAAUAAAGAUUGAUUUCUUUGCCAGUCUUUCCAUGCUAAACGCAGUCCCAAAUUGCAUUUCUGUGUCCAGGAGCGAGUGUUUAGAAGCCUAAAUACCCAUUUGUGCAUACCAAUGGGCAGCUUGCCUGUGCAACCCGAAGAAAAGCAAGAGAAGGGAUGGGUUUUCCAAAUCUCAACUCCCUGGUGGUGCUUCUUGGCUCUGGCUGUGAGCAGAACUGGCUCAGAAUGCCUGUCUGUCCUCAGUGUUCCUGGGCAGGAUCCACAGGGCACUGAAGUGCCCCAUGGCACCGCUCCGAGCCCUUUGGAUCGGGGUGAGGCUCUGGCUCCUUCUCAUCUGCUGUCACAGCAAUGCCUGACUUCAAUAUUUCCCUCUUCACCACAAGAUCUCAAAGCCCUUUUCAAGCCUUAUUAAGGUUCUCAUCACACUCAGGGAUGAUGCAGAGGUCCUAAUGACAAGGAAGAAUGAGGACAAGAGAAGUGACUUGCUCAAUGUCACACGAUUGCAACCCAGAGACUGCAACAGGGAGAUCUGAGCCUCAGUAGUUUGCUCUGAGCCCUAAUGAAUACUAAUGACUGGCCAUAUUGAUAAUUCACAGUGCUUCCACUGGGUUUAACACACACAAAGCGCUGCCCAAACGCUCAUUCUUUCACCCUCAGUGAUCACUGGGGCUCUGCAUGGUGCUCAGCCCACGACCCACUCCACUUUGCAGAUGUGGAAAAACCACAGAGUUAAUCAGAUGUUGCUCCACCAGAGGAAGCUGAGCGUGGAAGUGGUUGCAGGAUGAGGCAUGAAGGAGAUGUUCACAGUGUCUGGUUUCUGGCAUGUCACCCAGUGCCUGAUGGAGGGGUGCUGGAGCUGAGAACUUGGUUCCCCUGACUGCCAGAAGAGGAGCAAGCUCCAGUAGAAGCCCAUUCAAAGCAUCUGAGUUAGAAGCUGUUUCCCUCUGCUGAGCCUCUGGAGAGAUGAGCAUUAAAGGUCUCCAGCUAGACAUGUGAAUAUUCUCCCUUAAGUGCUUAUUAUUAUUCCCAUUUUGCAGGUGGGUGAACUGGAAAGGACAGGGCUGUGCUAAAUUAAGCGAGCUGCCCGC